rnacentral:rRNA from 1 species
CUUUUACAAUGAAGAGUUUGAUCCUGGCUCAGGAUGAACGCUAGCUACAGGCUUAACACAUGCAAGUCGAGGGGCAUCAGGAAGAAAGCUUGCUUUCUUUGCUGGCG